rnacentral:rRNA from 1 species
GACGAACGCUGGCGGCGUGCUUAACACAUGCAAGUCGAGCGGAAAGGCCCUGCUUUUGUGGGGUGCUCGAGUGGCGAACGGGUGAGUAACACGUGAGUAACCUGCCCUUGACUUUGGGAUAACUUCAGGAAACUGGGGCUAAUACCGGAUAGGAGCUCCUGCUGCAUGGUGGGGGUUGGAAAGUUUCGGCGGUUGGGGAUGGACUCGCGGCUUAUCAGCUUGUUGGUGGGGUAGUGGCUUACCAAGGCUUUGACGGGUAGCCGGCCUGAGAGGGUGACCGGGCAACGUUGGGACUGAAGUGCGGCCCGGCCCCAUCGGGGGGCCGGAGGGGGGGAAUAUUGCACACGGGGCGGAGGCCUAAUGCAGCACCGCCGGGGGCGGGAGCGCGCCUUUCGGUUUGUACCCCUCUUCCGCCUGGAAGGAAGGGGGGGGGAGGUAAGGGGGAAAAGAGCCCCCCCCAAACUCGUUC